rnacentral:rRNA from 1 species
AUUGAACGCUGGCGGCAUGCCUUACACAUGCAAGUCGAACGGCAGCACGGGUGCUUGCCCCUGGUGGCGAGUGGCGAACGGGUGAGUAAUACAUCGGAACAUGUCCUGUAGUGGGGGAUAGCCCGGCGAAAGCCGGAUUAAUACCGCAUACGAUCUACGGAUGAAAGCGGGGGACCUUCGGGCCUCGCGCUAUAGGGUUGGCCGAUGGCUGAUUAGCUAGUUGGUGGGGUAAAGGCCUACCAAGGCGACGAUCAGUAGAUGGUCUGAGAGGACGACCAGCCACACUGGGACUGAGACACGGCCCAGACUCCUACGGGAGGCAGCAGUGGGGAAUUUUGGACAAUGGGCGAAAGCCUGAUCCAGCAAUGCCGCGUGUGUGAAGAAGGCCUUCGGGUUGUAAAGCUCUUUUGUCCGGAAAGAAAUCCUUGGCUCUAAUACAGUCGGGGGAUGACGGUACCGGAAGAAUAAGCACCGGCUAACUACGUG